UACGGAGGGUGCGAGCGUUGUCCGGAAUCACUGGGCGUAAAGCGCGCGCAGGCGGCUAUCCAAGUCAGUGGUGAAAGCCCGGAGCUCAACUCCGGAACUGCCAUUGAAACUGUUUAGCUUGAGGAUGAGAGAGGUGAGUGGAAUUCCCAGUGUAGAGGUGAAAUGCGUAGAUAUCUGGAGGAACACCGGUGGCGAAGGCGGCGUUCUGGACUGCAACUGACACUGAGGAACGAAAGCCAGGGGAGCAAACGGG
rnacentral:rRNA from 1 species